rnacentral:rRNA from 1 species
UACGGGGGGAGCAAGCGUUGUUCGGAUUUACUGGGCGUAAAGGGCGCGUAGGCGGCCACCGCAAGUCGACUGUGAAAUCUCCGGGCUUAACCCGGAAAGGUCAGCCGAUACUGCGGGGCUAGAGUGCAGAAGGGGCAACUGGAAUUCUCGGUGUAGCGGUGAAAUGCGUAGAUAUCGAGAGGAACACCUGCGGCGAAGGCGGGUUGCUGGGCGGACACUGACGCUGAGGCGCGAAAGCUAGGGGAGCGAACGGG